rnacentral:rRNA from 1 species
GAUGAACGCUGGCGGCGUGCUUAACACAUGCAAGUCGAACGAUGAAGCCCAGCUUGCUGGGUGGAUUAGUGGCGAACGGGUGAGUAACACGUGAGUAACCUGCCCUUGACUCUGGGAUAAGCCUGGGAAACUGGGUCUAAUACUGGAUAUGACUUCUCAUCGCAUGGUGGGGGGUGGAAAGAUUUAUUGGUCUUGGAUGGACUCGCGGCCUAUCAGCUUGUUGGUGAGGUAAUGGCUCACCAAGGCGACGACGGGUAGCCGGCCUGAGAGGGUGACCGGCCACACUGGGACUGAGACACGGCCCAGACUCCUACGGGAGGCAGCAGUGGGGAAUAUUGCACAAUGGGCGCAAGCCUGAUGCAGCGACGCCGCGUGAGGGAUGACGGCCUUCGGGUUGUAAACCUCUUUCAGUAGGGAAGAAGCGAGAGUGACGGUACCCGCAGAAGAAGCGCCGGUUAACUACGUG